CUACUCAACAGAUGACGUAAUAGAAGCCUUCGACAACGUGGAAUCGAAAUGCAUACAUAGAGAAGGCUGCUCAAUCACAGUAAACGUCUGUCAAGAGCCACUUCUUAUUAAUCGGCAAUGGCCAUCCCUUACCCUCAAGUGUGUUGCUGGGCGACUCUUUGCUGCAACAAUCUGUCAAUCUUCAAAACGGCUUCUCGUUCCAGGCGGCCCUGCAGACACGCUGCAUCCGACGGCUCGACGUGGUCAACCGUGGUUUUUCGGGCUGGAAUACAGCCAACGCCAUCCGAUAUCUGAACAGAUUGUUUCCCGCGCCGACAGAAAGGUCUCCAAAAAUCAAUACAUCGUGAGCAGUGAUUGUCUUGCUCGGGGCGAAUGAUGCUGUACUCCCGCAGGCUUCGACUGCGCAACACGUGUCCAUCGAUGACUACAAACAGAACUUGAUCAGAAUCAUAUUGCACCCCCACAUCCAGAUGCACGAUCCCAAGAUCCUCCUCGUGACACCGCCACCGGUUGACGAGCUGAAGUGUACCAGGUCAACAUGGAGGAUGGGCAUCCGUCGGCGAUACGGACCUUUUCCACGACUGCUUCCUACGCGGAAAAAGUCCGAGAAGUAGCUAGCGAGAACACUGGCGUGAUUCUGAUCGAUUUGUGGCGGUCUCUG
rnacentral:lncRNA from 1 species